CACGUAGGGGGCGAGCGUUGUCCGGAUUUAUUGGGCGUAAAGAGCUCGUAGGCGGUUUGUCGCGUCGAAUGUGAAAACCCGGGGCUCAACCCCGGGCCUGCAUUCGAUACGGGCAGACUAGAGUUCGGUAGGGGAGUCUGGAAUUCCUGGUGUAGCGGUGAAAUGCGCAGAUAUCAGGAGGAACACCGGUGGCGAAGGCGGGACUCUGGGCCGAUACUGACGCUGAGGAGCGAAAGCGUGGGGAGCAAACAGG
rnacentral:rRNA from 1 species